rnacentral:lncRNA from 1 species
CCCCGGGGCCCUAUGCCCACCCCGUGCCCCCCAAGUGCCACGUUCCCCCCCCCCGGGCUGCGUGUCCCCAUGUCCCCCCCCUGGGCCAUAUGUCCCCGUAGCGUCCCCUCCUGGUGCCCACCAUGGCUCGCAGCUCCUGCGCGCGGCUGUCCAGGUCACUGAGGCGCCCUUCGCGCUCCAGCGCCUUGGCGAAGUUCUGCUUCAUCAGCUCCGUCACCUCCUCCGCCUCGCGCUGGCACUGCGCCAGCCCCGCCUGCGGGACCCCAAGCGUCACCGGGGUGGGGGGGGUUGGGGGGAUUGGGGACCUUGGGGACACCGGGGACGUGGGACCAUGGAGACCCUGCGGACAUGGGGACCUUGGGGAUACGGGGGACAUGGGGACCUUGGGGACAUGGGGAUCUUGGGGUCAUGGGGACUUUGGGGACAUGGGGACCCUGGGGACAUGGGGACAUGGUGACCUUGGGGACAUGGAGACUGUCGGGACAUGAGGACCUCAGGAACAUGGGGACCCUGGGGACACAGGGACUAUGGGGAUCUUGGGGACAUGAGGACCUUGGGGAUACUGGGGACACAGGGACCUCAGGGACAUGGGGACCAUGGAGACCUCUGGGAUCCUGGGGACACUGGGGACAUGAGGAGCAUGGAGACCUUGGGGACACAGGGACCUCAGGGACAAGGGGACCUUGGGGAUAUUGGGGACAUGGAGGUCUUGGGGACACAGGGACUAUGGGGAUCUUGGGGACAGGGACUAUGGGGACCUCAGGGACAUGGGGACCUUGGGGAUUUUGGAGAUGUGGGGACCUUGGGGACACGGGGCCCUUGAAGACAUGGGGACCUUGGGGACACAGGGACUAUGGGGACGGGGGGGGGCCUCAGUGACUUGGGUACACAGGGACCAUGGGGACACUGGGACCCUGGGGACCAUGGGGAUGGGGCAUGUGGGGACGCAGAGAUGGAGGACAUGGGGACACAGGGACCAUGAGGACCUUGGGUCAUAGGGACCAUUGGGUCACGAGGACCCUGGGGACACGGGGACCAAGGGGAUGGGGCAUGUGGGACCCAGGGAUGGAGGACAUGGGGACUGUGGGGACACGGGGACCAAGGGAUGGGGCACGUGGGGACCAAAGGGACCAGGGGACACAGGGAACAUGGGAUGGGACCCGUGGGAACAAUGGGGACAGGGCACAGCAUGGAUGGGGCAGACAGGGGACAGGACACAAGGCCAGGGACCGUGGGGACAUUGGGACUGCGGGGACAGGGCGCGUGGGAACAGGGACGGGACACAGGGACCAUGGGGAUGAGGGGACAGGGCAUACGGGGGGACAAGACCCACGGGGACAGGGUGACACAGGGACGGGAGACAUGGGGACAUGAGGACCAUGGGGACACGGGGACCCUAUGAAAUGGGAAUGGGGCACAUGGGGAUCGGGGGACAUGGGGAUCGGGGGGACAUGGGGACGGGGCACACAGGGAUCACGGGGAUAUGACCACGGGGACAGGGCAGAUGGGGAUUAGGGGGACAGGGGGACACAAGACCCGUGGGAACAGGGCAACACAGGGGUAGGAAACAUGGGGACCACGGGGACAGGGGGAUCAGGGGACAUGGGGACAGGGCACACGGGAAUCGGGGAUACGGGGAUGGGAGAUGUGGGGACACGACUCACAGGGACAGGGUGACACGGGGACGGGAGACGUGGGGACCACGGGGACCCCAGGAAAUGGGGACAGGGCACACAGGGAUCAUGGGGACAUGGGGACACGGGGAUCAGGGGACAUGGGGAUCGGGGGCACGGGGACCACGGGGACAUGGGCACAGGGG